rnacentral:misc_RNA from 1 species
UCUCCGUUGGUGAACCAGCGGAGGGAUCAUUACAGGAUCGAAAGACUCCUACAACCCCUGUGAACUUACUACAAAUACGUUGCUUCGGCGGGUGCCCCGGGUCUCCCGGGGCGUUCAGCCCGCCGGCAGCCUUCAAAUUCUGUUUCUUUGCGUUGGCAUCUCGAGUAUACAAAAAUAAGUUAAAACUUUCAACAACGGAUCUCUUGGUUCUG